rnacentral:rRNA from 1 species
UACGUAGGUGGCGAGCGUUGUCCGGAUUUACUGGGUGUAAAGGGAGCGUAGGCGGACUUUUAAGUGAGAUGUGAAAUACUCGGGCUCAACUUGAGUGCUGCAUUUCAAACUGGAAGUCUAGAGUGCAGGAGAGGAGAAUGGAAUUCCUAGUGUAGCGGUGAAAUGCGUAGAGAUUAGGAAGAACACCAGUGGCGAAGGCGAUUCUCUGGACUGUAACUGACGCUGAGGCUCGAAAGCGUG